GGUCCAGACGACAUUUGCUUUCCUGGCUUCAGGGGCCCAGGAGGGUUUUGUUGGGAGUUUUCUGGGGUAGGCUCUUGUGGGAGGGUGGAGAGCAUCUUCCUGCUAGAGAGAGAGCCAGGGGUCUGCUGAAAAGGGAAACACUGUUCUUUUGAUUUUCACUCUAAUAUGUUGAGUACUUAACAUUCAUGAGGUUCUUUCACAGGCUUUUUACCUCUCACAGCAAUGCUGCACAUGGAAAUCAUCCCCAUUUAUGGAUAACUGUCCCAGGCUCAGAGAGGGCAAGGAACUUACACAAGGUCACAGGGCCAGGAGGUGGAGAAGACAUUAGGAAACAAACUGAUCUGACUUCAAAUGCCAUGCUCCAUGACCAGACUUUGCCUAACAAGAAUUGGCGCAUCCCUGACUCCACUCAGGCUCCCACUGUGAACCUCGCCUGAACCUAAAGCAUCCCAUUCCCGGAAUGGCUUCUAAACUGUCUCCUCCAGAUUGGGAUCUCUCAACCUUGGCACAUUGAUAUUUGGGGCCAGACAAUUCUUUGUCGUGGGAGGCGAGGGCUGUCCUGUGCACUGUAGGAUGUUGAGUCGCAGCCCUGGCCCCUACUCACCAGACGCCAGCAGCACCCUCCCCGAGAUGCGACAUUC